GUCCAUGGCCGUACCACCCUGAAUACGCCUGAUCUCAUCUGAUCUCGGAAGCUAAGAAGCAUCGGGCCUUGUUAGUACUUGGAUGGGAGACAAAUUCAGGAGGUCAUUUGGGCUAAUAAUC
rnacentral:rRNA from 1 species